rnacentral:rRNA from 1 species
UUUCUCUCGCUCACUUCUUUUUGUAUUUUUUUAUUUUUAUUCGAGGCGGAGACGGAGAGAGGAGGGAGCGCGAGCUAAGUGUGGCGUGGAGCGUCGCCAAGGAGGAGGAGGAGGGCCGACGAAGGAGGAGUUAGGGGGGUUAGGCGGCCGGCUCCUUAAGCGGGCACGCGGUCCCGAGGGCCUACUGGGGGCGGGGCUGGGCGGCGAGGGGGACGACGACGAAGCGGAGGAGCGAGUUGGGGGGGCCUCGGCGGCGGCGGGCGAUCAGGGAGCGGCCCGCUCGUCUUCUAGGCCAAAACCGGGGGCGGAGGCGGCGGCGGCGGCGGCGGCAGCAGAAAGACGCCUCUCGACUAGCGCCCACCCCUCGCGCGGCUCGAGCUCCAGUCACGCGGCUCGGAAGAGACUAAAGACCUAAAGGGGAGAGAACAAGUAGCUGCGCCCGCCAAAAGUCCUCCCCUUUAGCCCGGCGCUAGGGCUGGAAUAGAGGACCUGGCUAAAAUAGUAAUAGAACGAAACGGCCGACGAAAGACAACCUAACAAUAGCUUCGGCGCAACUAGAACAACGCUAAAUACUCGGCGACUGCUGCGAGAUAAAACAGGCAGACGGUCCGAGGUUUUGACUUCUUUAACCAACAUACACCAUCGAACACCGUCGUUUUUCCUUACGGGAAAGGGGGGAAGAAAGAACGAGACAUCUUUACUAAACGGGGUACUUGUAUUUCCUCGUUUCGGCGUCGGAACGGACGAUUCCAACGAAGUAGUAGCAACUACGGCGGAAAGCCCUGUUGUGGCGGGCAAGCAAGGGAGCAAAAGAGUGACCUGCUCCGAAAGAACAACCUAAUAAUCAUAAUAAUGAUAAUAUCAGCACGUUGAAAAGGCGGUAAAAAGGAGCACUCCGCCGGUGAUUGAGACGUCCUUAUUAUUAUCAGAACGUUGAAAAGGUGGUAAUAAAGAGGACAACUGCGUCGGUGAUUGGGACGUCCUUUUGUCCCAACGGUCUAUGUCAAUGGGUAUAGAGAACAAUUAUUAGGCACAAAACAAUAAUGGUCAAAUCUAUAUAGAAAAAAAUCGCCUGUCGUCAUCCACUCCGGGAGUAAAGCGUUAGGUGUGGCUCGUGCAGUCGGCAAGCAUAGUCUCUUUAAUUCCACCUAUAGCGGACGUCAAUCAAGCGAGAGGGACUUGCCGGAGAGCCCGUAUUAGCCGUCAAUUCUGCGUUAGGUGAUAAAAUUCCGACGAUGUCUUUCGCAGACUAACCUAAUACCCUGACAAGGUCGAAAAGAACAAAAGUAUUGCACACUACCCUCAUUAGUAUAACCCAACAAGUUAGUCGGAAACUAAACUAGAACGUACAAUAAUCCAACAACUAAACCAACGAAUCUGACUAUUAUUCAACACGAUUAUUAUAGAAUAUUACACCAUCACCAGGGUCCUCCCCCUCCUAACGCAUGAUUAGACAACCAAAAGAGGCUAGACAGCAUUAGCACUGAUCACAUAGCUUGUGUAAAUCACUCCCACGAGGAUUGCACUGCCGAGCCUAGUAAGUAAAUACAGCUCAGAGAGUGGUCAGGAACUGAAACAACGUCGGCGCGUUUUAAUCGGCACAUAGCGCGUAAAGGACAAGAAGAAAACCACAGGUAAGGGAAUACGAUUUUAGUGACUUAGAUGAACCAUCCCCGUCACGAAAACUGUCUCUUAAACUCGGGGUGCCUACUCGUACACACUCUUUCUAGUUUUAAAGGUGACCCGGAUGCUGGAAAAGGUACUGGGGAAACGGCGAGGGUUGUCGAUGAUGCCUGUAGGAUUACCAAUGUCACUGUCGUCGAUAACACUGAUGUUAAUACGAUCUCUACGUAGCGUAGGGCUACUCUGUAUAAACGUAAGGAGGCGUGAAUGCACACUAUACAUGUUGGGUGUUCAUCCUUUACAACCGCCCGUCCUCGUACUCCGUCAGAUGCAUCUAGGCAGAUCAAGGAGAAGUAUGGGACUCUCACUGCUAACAAAACUUUACCUCCUUCUUCAUCCCUUCUCUAAAAUGGGGUACCAGGGUCAAGGGGUACAGGGAUUUUAAUUACCACUUUAAGGUAGUGAGCUGCUUCGGUGGUACCUGGUACUUUCCGACAGUCUGUCCAACUCCGAGAUACUUGAUUGACUCUUGUUCCACUUUCCACUACCGUUAACAGUCAAGGCACGUGAUAGUCUAGUCGACAUGGUUUGAGGCCUGGUGGUACUCAAACACUCCCUCGUCUAUUAAUCGGUCGAAUUUUCAUUGGCCCUUCGGAUACUACCUAUGCAGGGGUACCGUAUACUACUCAUAGACCUCUUUCAUAGUGCUUUACCACUUACCCCACUGGUACACUGAAAUGUCCGACGACGACUGUUCAUGCCUCACUUCUAAAAGCAGUACUGGAGCAAGUUCCUAUGCACGAUGUAGCUCUAGGUUGGGUUCCAAGUCUUCAGGUUGUUCCACCACGACAACUCGAAAACCCGCCUCCAAGUGAUGUUGAGCUAUAAAGGUGUCUUGCUGCGAGGCUCCAACGUAGUGUGCCGCUUCUUCUCCUCUACCACCGGGAAGAGCGUCGUGGUGGUAACUACUCCGAGAGAAGGGGGAGGAGCCGCGCACAUGAGACUGCCGCAAGGCCGCACGUUUCGUGAGAACGAAGAGGUGGCUCUACCUACCGGGGCCCCGUUGCGCGAGGACCAGCAGGACCCUCCCCGGCAGCACCGCACGCGAGCGAGACUGUCCUCCUCUCUUUUCUUUUUUCCGCAAUACCAACAGACUCUAAUAUAAUAUCUAUGUACCUUACCUUCCUUAUUACUUGUACGCUGGACAGGGCAUAUAUCAAAACCCAACGUAACGUCCGAGACAAUACAUAAAUGUAUGUUUUAAAACGGCCUUACUCCGAUGUAUGUCAAUUAGUAAGUAAACCUUAUGUUUACUAUAACUACCACUAUGAUGAUUAUUAUUGACCCACCUCCGUCACAAUUUCUUAGACAACUCAUAAACGCUACAAGAAAAAUCUUACCUAGACAAACUCCACAGAAACUAAACCAAGCUCUUCUCUCUCAACGAGCCAAUCAAAAAAAAAACACACACUCUUUACAACGAGCCAAUCUUUAAAAGAAAACCUCCAACACUUCGCAGACAAAAAAAAAA